rnacentral:rRNA from 2 species
AAAUUGAAGAGUUUGAUCAUGGCUCAGAUUGAACGCUGGCGGCAGGCCUAACACAUGCAAGUCGAACGGUAACAGGAAGCAGCUUGCUGCUUUGCUGACGAGUGGCGGACGGGUGAGUAAUGUCUGGGAAACUGCCUGAUGGAGGGGGAUAACUACUGGAAACGGUAGCUAAUACCGCAUAACGUCGCAAGACCAAAGAGGGGGACCUUCGGGCCUCUUGCCAUCAGAUGUGCCCAGAUGGGAUUAGCUUGUUGGUGGGGUAACGGCUCACCAAGGCGACGAUCCCUAGCUGGUCUGAGAGGAUGACCAGCCACACUGGAACUGAGACACGGUCCAGACUCCUACGGGAGGCAGCAGUGGGGAAUAUUGCACAAUGGGCGCAAGCCUGAUGCAGCCAUGCCGCGUGUAUGAAGAAGGCCUUCGGGUUGUAAAGUACUUUCAGCGGGGAGGAAGGUGUUGUGGUUAAUAACCGCAGCAAUUGACGUUACCCGCAGAAGAAGCACCGGCUAACUCCGUGCCAGCAGCCGCGGUAAUACGGAGGGUGCAAGCGUUAAUCGGAAUUACUGGGCGUAAAGCGCACGCAGGCGGUCUGUUAAGUCAGAUGUGAAAUCCCCGGGCUCAACCUGGGAACUGCAUCUGAUACUGGCAGGCUUGAGUCUCGUAGAGGGGGGUAGAAUUCCAGGUGUAGCGGUGAAAUGCGUAGAGAUCUGGAGGAAUACCGGUGGCGAAGGCGGCCCCCUGGACGAAGACUGACGCUCAGGUGCGAAAGCGUGGGGAGCAAACAGGAUUAGAUACCCUGGUAGUCCACGCCGUAAACGAUGUCGACUUGGAGGUUGUGCCCUUGAGGCGUGGCUUCCGGAGCUAACGCGUUAAGUCGACCGCCUGGGGAGUACGGCCGCAAGGUUAAAACUCAAAUGAAUUGACGGGGGCCCGCACAAGCGGUGGAGCAUGUGGUUUAAUUCGAUGCAACGCGAAGAACCUUACCUGGUCUUGACAUCCACGGAAGUUUUCAGAGAUGAGAAUGUGCCUUCGGGAACCGUGAGACAGGUGCUGCAUGGCUGUCGUCAGCUCGUGUUGUGAAAUGUUGGGUUAAGUCCCGCAACGAGCGCAACCCUUAUCCUUUGUUGCCAGCGGUCCGGCCGGGAACUCAAAGGAGACUGCCAGUGAUAAACUGGAGGAAGGUGGGGAUGACGUCAAGUCAUCAUGGCCCUUACGACCAGGGCUACACACGUGCUACAAUGGCAUAUACAAAGAGAAGCGACCUCGCGAGAGCAAGCGGACCUCAUAAAGUAUGUCGUAGUCCGGAUUGGAGUCUGCAACUCGACUCCAUGAAGUCGGAAUCGCUAGUAAUCGUGGAUCAGAAUGCCACGGUGAAUACGUUCCCGGGCCUUGUACACACCGCCCGUCACACCAUGGGAGUGGGUUGCAAAAGAAGUAGGUAGCUUAACCUUCGGGAGGGCGCUUACCACUUUGUGAUUCAUGACUGGGGUGAAGUCGUAACAAGGUAACCGUAGGGGAACCUGCGGUUGGAUCACCUCCUUA